rnacentral:rRNA from 1 species
AUGCUUUCACAACUUGACUUCAAAAUAUUUGGUUUGAAGACCAUCAAAGAUCAAUAUGUGCAUGAUGCUGAUUUUAAAGAUGUAAUGCAGAAUUGUAAAGAAGGAAGAAUGUGGAACAAGUUUGUUGUUAACGAUGGAUUUGUGUUUCGUGCUAACAAGCUAUGCAUUCCAGCUAGCUCCGUUCGUCUUUUGUUGUUGCAGGAGGCGCAUGGAGGAGGAUUAAUGGGACACUUUGGCGUGAAGAAGACGGAGGACGUACUUGCUACACAUUUCUUUUGGCCAAAGAUGAGACGGGAUGUUGAGCGUUUUAUUGCUCGCUGCACUACAUGUCAAAAAGCUAAGUCACGACUCAAUCCUCAUGGUUUAUAUAUGCCUUUGCCUGUACCUAGUGUUCCUUGGGAGGAUAUAUCUAUGGACUUUGUUUUAGGUUUACCUCGAACAAAGAAGGGGAGGGAUAGCAUAUUUGUUGUCGUGGAUAGAUUCUCGAAAAUGGCACACUUUAUACCAUGUCAUAAAAGCGAUGAUGCUGUUAAUGUUGCUGAUUUGUUCUUUCGUGAAAUUAUUCGCUUGCAUGGUGUGCCAAAUACUAUUGUUUCAGAUCGUGAUACUAAAUUUCUUAGCCACUUUUGGAGAUGUUUAUGGGCUAAGUUGGGGACUAAACUGCUUUUUAGUACUACUUGUCACCCCCAAACUGAUGGACAAACUGAAGUAGUCAAUAGAACGUUGUCUACUAUGCUUAGGGCUGUUUUGAAGAAUAAUAAGAAAAUGUGGGAGGAAUGCUUGCCUCAUAUUGAAUUUGCUUAUAAUCGUUCAUUGCAUUCUACUACUAAGAUGUGCCCUUUUGAAGUUGUGUAUGGUUUCCUACCUCGUGCACCUAUUGAUUUGUUGCCUCUUCCAUCUUCGGAGAAGGUUAAAUUUGAUGCUAAACAACGUGCUGAAUUGAUUUUAAAAAUGCAUGAGUUAACUAAGGAAAACAUUGAGCGCAUGAAUGCUAAAUAUAAACUUGCUGGAGAUAAGGGUAGAAAACAUGUUGUGUUUGCACCUGGAGAUCUUGUUUGGUUACAUUUGCGUAAGGAUAGAUUUCCUGAUUUGCGCAAAUCAAAGCUCAUGCCAUGGGCUGAUGGUCCCUUUAAGGUGUUAGAGAAAAUAAAUGAUAAUGCAUAUAAACUUGAGCUGCCUGCAGAUUUUGGGGUUAGUCCCACUUUUAACAUUGCAGAUUUGAAGCCUUAUUUGGGUGAGGAAGAUGAACUUCCGUCGAGGACGACUUCAUUUCAAGAAGGGGAGGAUGAUGAGGACAUCAAUACAAUUGUUACACCCACAGCCCCUGCUGCUAUACAUACUGGACCAAUUACUAGAGCUCGCGCACGCCAAUUAAAUUAUCAGGUACUUUCGUUUCUUGGUAAUGAUUCUAAUGUUCAUGAGAAUAUGAUGCUGCCUAAAUUGGAUACAUUUGUUUUGCUUACAAAUGAAGGGCCUAGCUUGGAGAAGGAUGAACAUUGGAGCAAGAACAAGCAUGGAGAUGAUGGCAUGCGCAAGGGGAACAAUAACGGAGUUACAAGUGAUGAUUUCAGGACUUUGAAGCCACCAUAA